UAAUACACAAAUAAAUAAAUAAAAUAAUAAAUAAAUGAGGGUUACUAUGUCAGAUAUUUGAAGGACCCCCAGACCCAGAUUGGCCAUUCUACGGUUUGCAUUAGACCAAUGCAAAGAACCCUGAAUUUGGACCCUGCAUGUCGAUCAGAAGGCGACAACGUGUUAAUUGGACCAAAUCAGAAAUGUGUCAUCUGUGGAGAGGAGUUCCCCUUUUCCAGAAUCAAGGAUCACAGCAAUAACUGCAUGAGACCAUCACAGAGCAGCGGUGAGGUACGGAUUGAGUUGACAACUGAAAGGGCCUCCGGAAGUCAAGUUAGAUUUGAAAGCACGUUCACAGGAGCACAGGGAAAUGAGACAACAAGGGCCAGGAACACAAGACACUCGGUGCCACCUCAGGAAAUGUUGCCUUCUCCUGAGGUAGUUGACAUCGAUCCCACUGAGGAAAGUGGCUUCUCUGGUGUGUAACAUCCUUUAUUAAGUACAUCAUG